AAUGAACGCUGGCGGCAGGCCUAACACAUGCAAGUCGAACGGGUCCUUCGGGACUAGUGGCGAACGGGUGAGUAACACGUGGGCAACCUGCCCCGGAGACUGGGAUAACGUCCCGAAAGGGACGCUAAUACCGGAUGACGCGCGAUCUGCCAAGUAGGUCGCGCCAAAUGGUAGCUUCGGCUUCUACUCUGGGAUGGGCCCGCGCCGGAUUAGCUUGUUGGUGGGGUAAUGGCUCACCAAGGCGACGAUCCGUAGCUGGUCUGAGAGGACGAUCAGCCACACUGGGACUGAGACACGGCCCAGACUCCUACGGGAGGCAG
rnacentral:rRNA from 1 species